rnacentral:rRNA from 1 species
AUUGAACGCUAGCGGCAGGCCUAACACAUGCAAGUCGAGCGCGCGGCGGACGGGGGAGUAAUGUAUGGGGACUGCCCGCUAGAGGGGGAUAACAACUGGAGACGGUAGCUAAUACCGCAUACUAUAGGAUAACCCAUAUGGGAUGAGCUAGUGGGUGGGGUAAUGGCUCACCUAGGCGACGAUCCCUAGCUGGUCUGAGAGGAUGAUCAGCCACACUGGGACUGAGACACGGCCCAGACUCCUACGGAGGCAGCAGUGGGGAAUAUUGCACAAUGGGCGCAAGCCUGAUGCAGCCAUGCCGCGUGUAUGAAGAAGGCCUUAGGGUUGUAAAGUACUUUCAGUCGGGAGGCGUUACCGACAGAAGAAGCACCGGCUAACUCCGUGCCAGCCGCCGCGGUAAUUC